UACAGAGGGUGCAAGCGUUACUCGGAAUUACUGGGCGUAAAGCGUGCGUAGACGGUUAUGUAAGUCAGAUGUGAAAGCCCCGGGCUCAACCUGGGAAUUGCAUUUGAGACUGUGUAGCUAGGGUGCGGAAGAGGGAAGCGGAAUUUCCGGUGUAGCGGUGAAAUGCGUAGAUAUCGGAAGGAACACCAGUGGCGAAAGCGGCUUCCUGGUCCAGCACCGACGUUCAGGCACGAAAGCGUGGGGAGCAAACAGG
rnacentral:rRNA from 1 species